GCCAGGAUAGCUCAGUCGGUAGAGCAUCAGACUUUUAAUCAGAGGGUCCAGGUUUCAA
rnacentral:tRNA from 1 species